rnacentral:rRNA from 1 species
GGUUAAGCGACUAAGCGUACACGGUGGAUGCCCUGGCAGUCAGAGGCGAUGAAGGACGUGCUAAUCUGCGAUAAGCGUCGGUAAGGUGAUAUGAACCGUUAUAACCGGCGAUUUCCGAAUGGGGAAACCCAGUGUGUUUCGACACACUAUCAUUAACUGAAUCCAUAGGUUAAUGAGGCGAACCGGGGGAACUGAAACAUCUAAGUACCCCGAGGAAAAGAAAUCAACCGAGAUUCCCCCAGUAGCGGCGAGCGAACGGGGAGGAGCCCAGAGCCUGAAUCAGUGUGUGUGUUAGUGGAAGCGUCUGGAAAGGCGCGCGAUACAGGGUGACAGCCCCGUACACAAAAAUGCACAUGCUGUGAGCUCGAUGAGUAGGGCGGGACACGUGGUAUCCUGUCUGAAUAUGGGGGGACCAUCCUCCAAGGCUAAAUACUCCUGACUGACCGAUAGUGAACCAGUACCGUGAGGGAAAGGCGAAAAGAACCCCGGCGAGGGGAGUGAAAAAGAACCUGAAACCGUGUACGUACAAGCAGUGGGAGCACGCUUAGGCGUGUGACUGCGUACCUUUUGUAUAAUGGGUCAGCGACUUAUAUUCUGUAGCAAGGUUAACCGAAUAGGGGAGCCGAAGGGAAACCGAGUCUUAACUGGGCGUUAAGUUGCAGGGUAUAGACCCGAAACCCGGUGAUCUAGCCAUGGGCAGGUUGAAGGUUGGGUAACACUAACUGGAGGACCGAACCGACUAAUGUUGAAAAAUUAGCGGAUGACUUGUGGCUGGGGGUGAAAGGCCAAUCAAACCGGGAGAUAGCUGGUUCUCCCCGAAAGCUAUUUAGGUAGCGCCUCGUGAAUUCAUCUCCGGGGGUAGAGCACUGUUUCGGCAAGGGGGUCAUCCCGACUUACCAACCCGAUGCAAACUGCGAAUACCGGAGAAUGUUAUCACGGGAGACACACGGCGGGUGCUAACGUCCGUCGUGAAGAGGGAAACAACCCAGACCGCCAGCUAAGGUCCCAAAGUCAUGGUUAAGUGGGAAACGAUGUGGGAAGGCCCAGACAGCCAGGAUGUUGGCUUAGAAGCAGCCAUCAUUUAAAGAAAGCGUAAUAGCUCACUGGUCGAGUCGGCCUGCGCGGAAGAUGUAACGGGGCUAAACCAUGCACCGAAGCUGCGGCAGCGACACUGUGUGUUGUUGGGUAGGGGAGCGUUCUGUAAGCCUGUGAAGGUGUACUGUGAGGUAUGCUGGAGGUAUCAGAAGUGCGAAUGCUGACAUAAGUAACGAUAAAGCGGGUGAAAAGCCCGCUCGCCGGAAGACCAAGGGUUCCUGUCCAACGUUAAUCGGGGCAGGGUGAGUCGACCCCUAAGGCGAGGCCGAAAGGCGUAGUCGAUGGGAAACAGGUUAAUAUUCCUGUACUUGGUGUUACUGCGAAGGGGGGACGGAGAAGGCUAUGUUGGCCGGGCGACGGUUGUCCCGGUUUAAGCGUGUAGGCUGGUUUUCCAGGCAAAUCCGGAAAAUCAAGGCUGAGGCGUGAUGACGAGGCACUACGGUGCUGAAGCAACAAAUGCCCUGCUUCCAGGAAAAGCCUCUAAGCAUCAGGUAACAUCAAAUCGUACCCCAAACCGACACAGGUGGUCAGGUAGAGAAUACCAAGGCGCUUGAGAGAACUCGGGUGAAGGAACUAGGCAAAAUGGUGCCGUAACUUCGGGAGAAGGCACGCUGAUAUGUAGGUGAAGUCCCUUGCGGAUGGAGCUGAAAUCAGUCGAAGAUACCAGCUGGCUGCAACUGUUUAUUAAAAACACAGCACUGUGCAAACACGAAAGUGGACGUAUACGGUGUGACGCCUGCCCGGUGCCGGAAGGUUAAUUGAUGGGGUCAGCGCAAGCGAAGCUCUUGAUCGAAGCCCCGGUAAACGGCGGCCGUAACUAUAACGGUCCUAAGGUAGCGAAAUUCCUUGUCGGGUAAGUUCCGACCUGCACGAAUGGCGUAAUGAUGGCCAGGCUGUCUCCACCCGAGACUCAGUGAAAUUGAACUCGCUGUGAAGAUGCAGUGUACCCGCGGCAAGACGGAAAGACCCCGUGAACCUUUACUAUAGCUUGACACUGAACAUUGAGCCUUGAUGUGUAGGAUAGGUGGGAGGCUUUGAAGUGUGGACGCCAGUCUGCAUGGAGCCGACCUUGAAAUACCACCCUUUAAUGUUUGAUGUUCUAACGUGGACCCGUGAUCCGGGUUGCGGACAGUGUCUGGUGGGUAGUUUGACUGGGGCGGUCUCCUCCUAAAGAGUAACGGAGGAGCACGAAGGUUGGCUAAUCCUGGUCGGACAUCAGGAGGUUAGUGCAAUGGCAUAAGCCAGCUUGACUGCGAGCGUGACGGCGCGAGCAGGUGCGAAAGCAGGUCAUAGUGAUCCGGUGGUUCUGAAUGGAAGGGCCAUCGCUCAACGGAUAAAAGGUACUCCGGGGAUAACAGGCUGAUACCGCCCAAGAGUUCAUAUCGACGGCGGUGUUUGGCACCUCGAUGUCGGCUCAUCACAUCCUGGGGCUGAAGUAGGUCCCAAGGGUAUGGCUGUUCGCCAUUUAAAGUGGUACGCGAGCUGGGUUUAGAACGUCGUGAGACAGUUCGGUCCCUAUCUGCCGUGGGCGCUGGAGAACUGAGGGGGGCUGCUCCUAGUACGAGAGGACCGGAGUGGACGCAUCACUGGUGUUCGGGUUGUCAUGCCAAUGGCACUGCCCGGUAGCUAAAUGCGGAAGAGAUAAGUGCUGAAAGCAUCUAAGCACGAAACUUGCCCCGAGAUGAGUUCUCCCUGACCCUUUAAGGGUCCUGAAGGAACGUUGAAGACGACGACGUUGAUAGGCCGGGUGUGUAAGCGCAGCGAUGCGUUGAGCUAACCGGUACUAAUGAACCGUGAGGCUUAACCUU